CCUACGGGUGGCAGCAGUAGGGAAUAUUGCUCAAUGGGGGAAACCCUGAAGCAGCAACGCCGCGUGGAGGAUGAAGGUUUUCGGAUUGUAAACUCCUUUUGUUAGAGAAGAUAAUGACGGUAUCUAACGAAUAAGCACCGGCUAACUCCGUGUCAGCAGCCGCGGUAAUACGGCAGGUGCAAGCGUUACUCGGAAUCACUGGGCGGAAAGAGCGCAUAGGCGGGAUGGCAAGGCAGAUGUGAAAUCAUAUGGCUUAACCAUAGAACUGCAUUUGAACCUGUUAUUCUAGAGUAUGGGAGAGGAAGGUGGAAUUCUAGGUGUAGGGGUAAAAUCCGUAGAGAUCAAGAGGAAUACUCAUUGCGAAGGCGACCUGCUAGAACAUAACUGACGCUGAGGCGCGAAAGCGUGGGGAGCAAACAGGAUUAGAUACCCUGGUAGUC
rnacentral:rRNA from 1 species